GAUGAACGCUGGCGGCGUGCCUAAUACAUGCAAGUCGAGCGAACGGACGAGAAGCUUGCUUCUCUGAUGAUAGCGGCGGACGGGUGAGUAACACGUGGAUAACCUACCUAUAAGACUGGGAUAACUUCGGGAAACCGGAGCUAAUACCGGAUAAUAUUUUGAACCGCAUGGUUCAAAAGUGAAAGACGGUCUUGCUGUCACUUAUAGAUGGAUCCGCGCUGCAUUAGCUAGUUGGUAAGGUAACGGCUUACCAAGGCGACGAUGCAUAGCCGACCUGAGAGGGUGAUCGGCCACACUGGAACUGAGACACGGUCCAGACUCCUACGGGAGGCAGCAGUAGGGAAUCUUCCGCAAUGGGCGAAAGCCUGACGGAGCAACGCCGCGUGAGUGAUGAAGGUCUUCGGAUCGUAAAACUCUGUUAUUAGGGAAGAACAUAUGUGUAAGUAACUGUGCACAUCUUGACGGUACCUAAUCAGAAAGCCACGGCUAACUACGUG
rnacentral:rRNA from 1 species